UCCCUGGUGGUCCAGUGGCUAAGACUUUGCGCUUCCAAUGCAGAGGGCCUGGGUUCGAUGCUGGUCUGGGAACUGGCUCCCCAGUCAGGGAA